CUGAAACCCUGGCCUCACCCUUCCCUUCUGCUACCUACAAAAGCCCCCUGACAUAGCACUCUUGUCAUACUGAGACUAAGGUAGAAAAAGACACUUCCAAAGGGUGUCAAUGACAAGAGAGAAAUAGACAUAGAGUGGUCACUUCAUUUACCAACCCUGGAACCGCAGACCUCUGGGCUUCCUGGCUCUAGGAAUGCAGUGCAAGACAGGCAAGGUUCUUGCUCAUACAGAGCUUCUAGAAACCUGGGAUACAGAGAUGCAAUCAAGUGAUAAAACACAUGGAUGAAGGCUCUGCCAUUGAACACAUGGUUCUUGACAAGCCCACAGAGAGGCACAGCUAAGCCAGCCCUGGGGAGCCAGGGAGGGUUCCCUGGAGGGAGAGAAGCUGGAUCCAGGUCUGAAAGAUGACUUGAAGUCAGCCAUGAGCAAGGAAGAGAUUUUCCAGGCCAAGCGAACAGCCUGUGAGUGGUGCCAUUUGGGAGGAAGAGUUGGAAGAAGAAGAGCGAUAGAUAGAGAGAGGAGACAACAAGGUCCCUCUGGGACAGGCUGAAUUCCAGAUGUCUGUGGGACACUAGGCCAUUGGCUAUGGUGGUCUGAGACCCUAAACAGGGGCCUGGGAUAGGGUUUUAGUCUGGUCACCAUGUACACACGGAGGCAGGGUAUAGAGUGAGAAGAUGGGAUGAUUGAAAGGCCUGGGACACGAGCCAGGGAAACGCAGGAUAGAAAUGACUGGCAGAGGCUGGGCACGGUGGCUUACGCCUGUAAUCCCCACACUUUGGGAGGCCGAGGUGGGUGGAUCACUUGAGGCCAGGAGUUCAAGACCAGGCUGGCCAACGUGGAGAAACCCCAUCUCUACUAAAAUACAAAAAAUUAGCGGGUCAUGGUGGCAUGCACCUGUAAUCCCAGCUACUCAGGAGGCUGAGGCAAGAGAAUCUCUUGAAUCCUGGAGGCAGAGCUUGCAGUGAGCUGAUAUCACGACACUGCACUCCAACCUGAGCGACAGACCAAGACUCUGUCUCAAAAGAAAAAAAAAAAAAAGAGGUGACUGACAGAGAAUGACCCCAGCAAAGGACCAGAGAAGGAGCAGUCCACGGAGGACCACUUGGAGAGGGUGGGUGGGGGGAAACCCAGCUCACAGGAGAAGGUGUGGCCGAUGGUGUGGCAUGCUGCUGAAAGGCCAGGGGCCGCAGUGACUGUGUCCAGUCCUUCCUCACCCCGCUGCAGAGUCAGUCCAGGAGGCCUUUACCCACAGCACUGCCACCUCCCUCCACGACCCCUGUCUUUCUCUUCCCCAGAUUAAACGCUCCCACUUCUCUCCAUUCUUCUUUCUCCACCCCCAGGCCCAUUUCUGCCUCGGUUGCCUGCCUCCAACCACAAUCCAGUUUUUUGGCUCCCAGAGACAGACAUGCCCAGAUCUGAACACCACCCACCUGGAUAAAGAAAAUGGGUACGGCCAAGACCAUAGACCUAGUGAUUGUCAGAUGAACAAUUAGACCCACAGAACCAUCCAAGCUACAGAGGACGCAUUCUGCCUUCCCUUGGAUCCUGUGGUUUGAGGAUGGAGGUCUAGGACCGUGGCAGGCUUUUUGUCCCAUGAGGGAAGGCCAUGGAGCUGAGGAAGGGGAAGAACACACACACCUAAUGGAAUCUCGAGAGAAAGUUCAGACAUCAAAAGACAGAAGCGACAGAGACCCAGAUGGAGUCUCACCCAGCCUGGAGUACAGUAGUAUGAUCUGCAACCUUUGCCUCCCAGGUUCAGGCGAUUCUCCUGUCUCAGCCUCCGGAGUAUCUGGGAUUACAGGCACGUGCCACCACGCCCGGCUAAUUUUUUGUAUUUUUAGUAGAGAUGGGUUUCACCGUGUUAGCCAGGAUGGUCUCGAACUCCUGACCUCGUGAUCUACCCGCCUUGGCCUCCCAAAGUGCUGGGAUUACAGGCAUGAGCUACCGUGCUCGGCCAUGCCUGGCUAAUUUAUAUAUACAUAUAUAUAUAUAUAUAUAUUUUUUUUUUUUUUUUUUUUUUUUUGAGACAGAGUCUUGCUCUGUCACCCAGGUUGGAGUGCAGUGGCAUGAUCUCGGCUCACUGCAAGCUCGCCUCCCAGGUUCACGCCAUUCUCCUGCCUCAGCCUCCUGAGUAGCUGGGACUACAGGCGCCCGCAUGACGCCCGGCUAAUUUUUUGUAUUUUUAGUAGAGACGGGGUUUCACUGUGUUAGCCAGGAUGGUCUCGAUCUCCUGACCUCGUGAUCUGCCCACCUCAGCCUCCGAAAGUGCUGGGAUUACAGACAUGAGCCACCGCACCCAGCCUUAUAUAUAUAUUUUUUAUUAGUGAAGAGGUUUCGCCAUAUUGGCCAGACUGGUCUCGAACUCCUGACCUCAGGUGAUCCACCCACCUCGGCCUCCCAAAGUGCUGGGAUUACAGGUGGGAGCCACCGCACCCUGCCUAAAAUGCAAAAGAUUUUGAAUGGCGAGAAUGGCGACAUGAUGCCACAAGUGGAAAAUUCCACACCUGGCUGCAUGUAAUGGGUUGAAGUCAAAAUGCAGUCAAAAACUUUGUUUCAUGUACAAAAUUAUUAAAAACAUUGUAUAAAAUCACCUUCAGACUAUGUGUAUGUGAAACCUAAGUGAAUUUAAUGGCUAGACUUCAGUUGCAUUCCCAAGAUCUCUCAUUAUGUAUAUGCAAAUAUUUUGAAAUUCAACCUGGUUCCACACAUUUUAGAUAAGGGAUACUCAAGCUGUAAUUAACAAAUAAACUUUUCACAGUCCAAGCAGCCAAAGGCCCACUGUCCCUGUUCCCUCAGCUCACGCCCCCUUCCGUGCACAGCCUUAUCUAAUCCUUCUACCCUUC
rnacentral:lncRNA from 1 species